GGAGUAUGGCCGAAACUCAUGUCCAUAGCUACUUCUCCCAUUUGAUCUCGGUGCCAUCUUAGGAUGUGAAAUGAGUAGUCUCAGCCUAUGUUCUUUAUCUCUUCAUGUUUAUCCUAGCCAUUUCCUUUGUGCUAUUUGUAAUAAUCUUUUCAUGUUCAACUCAAAGGACCCAUAGAUAUACUUUAAGUUUUCCCACCAC
rnacentral:lncRNA from 1 species